CUCGCAUCGAGAAAUUGUUUUUGUGAAAUGCCAUUUGUUUAAUUCAGCAAUUGAAUUACUUUUUCGGUGUUUAAUUUAAUUUGAAAACAGUGUCCGUCCCGGAUUGAACAAAUCUUUCACUGGCCCUUUUUGAAUGUGAACGGCAAACAAAGGAUGCAUACCCGAUGAAGCGAUGAAAAAGCACAUAACGGAGAGGAUGCGAAGAUUCUGCAGAUUCGUUCCUACCCGUGGUGAAUCCUACCCGGCAUUUGAAAAUGAAAUUGGGCAGAAACAAAAUUGUCGGCUUUUCUCGGAAGUGGAAACUGUCGGGAUCAUGUCCCCUUUUCUUGAAAGCAUACUGGAUGUUCGAGGAGGAUGCCGGUUGAGGUCCCAUCCAAGAUGAAGCUAAUAGAACACUUUGAAAGGAUCAGAGUCGAAGCAGGUGAGGCUUUCUAGCUCCAAGGGAUGGAAAAAACUAUCUCCGUCGAUACUGACCAGUUUAUAAUAAAUUAACAGAAGAAUAAAUAGAAUUAAUAGUGCGGCAACUGUAGUGGUGGAGUGG